GAAGCCCUAACCAAGCCGCCCUCCCAACUCCUCCAGCCCCCAGACGAACACACGCCGGCGCCACCGCUCCAAAGCCCAGCCACGGUGCGCAUGGCGGCGGCGGCGGCGGCGGCGGCGGCGCUCCGCUGCUGCUUCCCCGGCUCCGCUAUCGGUAGCAGCUUCGUCAGACCCUCUUCCUGCAGGCGGGGCCGACACGCAGCAGCCGUGGCGUCGUCGUCGAGGGAGGCGGAGCCGGCCGCUUCGCUGGGGCACCUUACCCGCGUCGACUUCCCCAUCCUCCACCAGGAAUUUGAUGGUGCCAAAUUAGUUUACUUCGACAAUGGUGCAACAUCACAGAAACCUUUUAGUGUAAUGAAAACAUUAGAUGAGUACUACCGAUCAUACAACUCGAAUGUUCAUCGUGGUAUUCAUGCUCUCAGCGCAAAAGCUACUGAUGCAUAUGAAGGUGCAAGAAGAAAAGUUGCAAAUUUUGUCAAUGCAGCUGAUAGCAGAGAGAUAAUUUUCACACGUAAUGCUACAGAAGCUAUCAAUUUGGUAGCCUAUUCAUGGGGCCUAUCUAACAUAAAACAAGGAGAUGAGAUUCUUCUUACAGUUGCGGAGCAUCAUAGUUCUAUUGUUCCAUGGCAAAUUGUUUCCCAGAAGACUGGUGCCACUUUAAAGUAUGUUGGGUUGACUAAAGAAGAGGUUCCGGACAUUGAGCAGUUAAAAGGGCUUCUGUCAAACAAGACAAAGAUGGUUGUUGUCCAUCAUGUCUCAAAUGUACUCGGUUCAAUGCUUCCUAUUGAGGAGAUUGUAACAUGGUCAAAAAGAGUUGGAGCUAAGGUUCUCGUGGAUGCUUGUCAAAGUGUUCCCCAUAUGCCAGUUGAUGUUCAGAAACUUGGCGCUGACUUUCUUGUAGCAUCAUCACAUAAGAUGUGUGGCCCUACAGGCGUUGGAUUUAUGCACGGCACAUUUGAAAUGUUGUCAUCUAUGGAGCCUUUCUUAGGUGGUGGCGAAAUGAUUGCAGAUGUGUUCUAUGAGAAAUCCACAUAUGCUGAGCCUCCCUCUAGAUUCGAGGCUGGAACUCCUGCAAUUGGAGAAGCUAUAGGAUUUGGAGCAGCAAUUGACUAUUUAUCAUGCAUUGGCAUGGAUCAGAUCCAUGAAUAUGAGAAAGAGUUGGCGAUGUAUCUCUAUGAAAGCCUACUUUCUGUUCCAAAUGUCCGGAUAUACGGUCCGGCACCUUCCCAAACAGAUCACCGUGCUCCUUUAUGCUCUUUCAAUGUUGAGAAUGUUCAUCCUACAGAUAUUGCUGGAAUUCUUGAUCUUCAGCAUAACGUAGCAAUUCGAUCGGGGCACCAUUGUGCACAGAUUUUGCAUAGGACCCUUGGUAUCGAUGCAAGUGCUCGUGCAAGUCUUCACUUUUACAAUACAAAAGAGGAAGUGGAUAUUUUCAUCCAUGCACUUAAAGAUACUAUUGACUUACUUACAUCUCAACACUAGUGCAGUUGAAUUAGUAAGUCCUCCCCUUUUCCAGUUUCCUCAUUUUCUUGUUUGGGCCGCUGUUUGAUAUGGUUGGAAAAAGGAAAACAUCCAAAGGCUAUGCCUACAUAAACUGUCAACUCCCUUUUUGACUGCUCUUGUAAAAUGAAGUGCAGAAUGCAAACUACCUUUCUAAUCUCCAUCGAUAUGAGAAAUGAAGUUCUGGGUCAGCAUUAUGCAGUAACGUGUUUAUGUGUAUAAUUACCUGCAAUUUGGACCAGAGUAGAAUGACCUGAGGGCCAAUAAAGGACAGGUAUAUGUGCAUGAUUUGCGGGGCAUAUGGAGUUCCAAUUCAGAGAAGCUGCGCAGCUGCCUCCUUGUGUCCUUUAGGACCUCUGGGUUGACAUACUUUGCUGAUACAAUGACUGGUAAAAGAUAAAAUGGGCAAGAACAGUAGUUUCUUUUGCUUGGAUCUGCUGUUGAUACCCAUUAUCAGCGGGUACUAGAUUGGUUCCAAUGCCAUUGCUGAGCAAAGCAUGGCAGAUUAAUACUGGAUCUGAAUGACUGAUCUCGAUGUUUCCAGAUUGUAUUGUACAUACUGUUGCUGAAUUGCCAAAUUGGAGACCGCAGAUAGAUUGUUUGAAGUUUAUUAUAGUCAUGCUACAUAGAUUCAGGUUUUCUUUACUUAAAUUUGCAUCAGAAGACAGUUAAGUAUGCUUAUUGUUAUUGUAACUCAGACUCGAUACAGCAGGCAUUGAAUAUGACGCACUGCAGCAGCAUCUUUCUUU